rnacentral:lncRNA from 1 species
GUUUACAACCUGCCGGACUUCCUUUAGGCAUUGUACACAGUAUGUCCACAAUGCAUUUAUAUUAAAUGCAUCAGCAUUGCUAGAACAGUCUGGACAGUAUGAUCCUAAUACAGCUUGCCUACUGAUUUGAAUACGUUUUUAAACCAGUGGCAGGCAGACUGUAGAAUGAGGCUGGUGAAAAACAGGGAACUGAACAAGAAAAAUAGAUUGCAGCAGCAGGGAGCUCAAGUAAGGACAUGGGCAAUCAUUCUUUCUGGUUCCAGUUCCUUAGAAUCCUAAGCCUCAAUACCACAAAGAAAAGGGAAACAAAAAAGUGCUGAAAUCAGCUCCUUUGGAAGUGCAGCAGAAAAUUCAACGCAGAGAAAAGACCCA